UACGGAGGGUGCAAGCGUUAUCCGGAUUCACUGGGUUUAAAGGGUGCGUAGGUGGCUUUGUAAGUCAGUGGUGAAAUCUCGGAGCUUAACUCCGAAACUGCCAUUGAUACUGCUUAGCUUGAAUCAGGUAGAGGUGGAUGGAAUAUUACAUGUAGCGGUGAAAUGCUUAGAUAUGUAAUAGAACACCGAUUGCGAAGGCAGUUCACUAUGCCUGCAUUGACACUGCGGCCCUAAAGCGUGGGGUUCAAACAGG
rnacentral:rRNA from 1 species